rnacentral:rRNA from 1 species
GAUGAACGCUAGCGGCAGGCCUAACACAUGCAAGUCAGGGGUAACAUGAAAAGCUUUGCUUUUCUGAUGACACCGGCGCACGGGUGCGUAACGCGUAUUACAACCUACCUUUUUAGCCGGGGGAAUAGCCCAGGGAAACUUGGAUUAAUGCCUCAUAGUAUAUAAGCUUCUCCUGAAGUUUAUAUUAAACAUUUAUGGCUAUUAGAUGGGUAUGCGUCCUAUUAGUUAGUUGGUAAGGUAACGGCUUACCAAGGCAGCGAUAGGUAGGGGUCCUGAGAGGGAGAUCCCCACACUGGUACUGAGACACGGACCAGACUCCUACGGGAGGCAGCAGUGAGGAAUAUUGGACAAUGGGCGAGAGCCUGAUCCAGCCAUGCCGCGUGCAGGAAGACUGCCCUAUGGGUUGUAAACUGCUUUUACAGAGGAAGAACCACCCCCACGUGUGGGGGUUUGACGGUACUCUGCGAAUAAGGAUCGGCUAACUCCGUG